UACAUACAUCUAUUGAGCCAUC
rnacentral:miRNA from 1 species